CUGUUCAAAGAUUAAGCCAUGCAUGUCUAAGUAUAAGCAACUAUACGGUGAAACUGCGAAUGGCUCAUUAAAUCAGUUAUCGUUUAUUUGAUAGUACCUUACUACAUGGAUAACCGUGGUAAUUCUAGAGCUAAUACAUGCUAAAAACCCCGACUUCGGAAGGGGUGUAUUUAUUAGAUAAAAAACCAAUGCCCUUCGGGGCUCCUUGGUGAAUCAUAAUAACUUAACGAAUCGCAUGGCCUUGCGCCGGCGAUGGUUCAUUCAAAUUUCUGCCCUAUCAACUUUCGAUGGUAGGAUAGUGGCCUACCAUGGUAUCAACGGGUAACGGGGAAUUAGGGUUCGACUCCGGAGAGGGAGCCUGAGAAACGGCUACCACAUCCAAGGAAGGCAGCAGGCGCGCAAAUUACCCAAUCCCGACACGGGGAGGUAGUGACAAUAAAUACUGAUACAGGGCUCUUUUGGGUCUUGUAAUUGGAAUGAGUACAAUUUAAAUCCCUUAACGAGGAACAAUUGGAGGGCAAGUCUGGUGCCAGCAGCCGCGGUAAUUCCAGCUCCAAUAGCGUAUAUUAAAGUUGUUGCAGUUAAAAAGCUCGUAGUUGAACCUUGGGCCUGGCUGGCCGGUCCGCCUCACCGCGUGUACUGGUCCGGCCGGGCCUUUCCUUCUGGGGAACCUCAUGCCCUUCACUGGGCGUGCUGGGGAACCAGGACUUUUACUUUGAAAAAAUUAGAGUGUUCAAAGCAGGCCUUUGCUCGAAUACAUUAGCAUGGAAUAAUAGAAUAGGACGUGUGGUUCUAUUUUGUUGGUUUCUAGGACCGCCGUAAUGAUUAAUAGGGAUAGUCGGGGGCAUCAGUAUUCAAGCGUCAGAGGUGAAAUUCUUGGAUUGCUUGAAGACUAACUACUGCGAAAGCAUUUGCCAAGGAUGUUUUCAUUAAUCAGUGAACGAAAGUUAGGGGAUCGAAGACGAUCAGAUACCGUCGUAGUCUUAACCAUAAACUAUGCCGACUAGGGAUCGGACGGUGUUAGUAUUUUGACCCGUUCGGCACCUUACGAGAAAUCAAAGUUUUUGGGUUCUGGGGGGAGUAUGGUCGCAAGGCUGAAACUUAAGGA
rnacentral:rRNA from 1 species